AUGCCAUGGUGGGGAUAUUUUUACAACAACUUCUUGAACUGCUCGCAUGCCUUAUAUAAAGAUUCUUCAUCAAGUUGCUGAAAUAAAGUUAUCUCAUUAUGGAGCUU